CAAGGAAUUUUCCGCAAUGGGCGCAAGCCUGACGGAGCAACGCCGCGUGCGGGAUGACGCCUUUCGGGGUGUAAACCGCUGUUCGUGGGGACGAAGAUCUGACGGUACCCACGGAGGUAGGCCCGGCUAACUACGUGCCAGCAGCCGCGGUAAUACGUAGGGGCCGAGCGUUGUCCGGAGUUACUGGGCGUAAAGGGUGCGCAGGCGGUCUGCCGCGCCCGGCGUGAAAGCCCCCGGCUUAACCGGGGAGGGUCGUCGGGGACGGGCAGACUUGAGGCUGUCAGGGGCUGGUGGAAUUCCCGGUGUAGUGGUGGGAUGCGUAGAGAUCGGGAGGAACACGCGUGGCGAAGGCGGCCAGCUGGGACAGACCUGACGCUGAGGCACGAAGGCGUGGGGAGCGAACGGGAUUAGAUACCCCCGUAGUCC
rnacentral:rRNA from 1 species